rnacentral:rRNA from 1 species
AUGAACGCUGGCGGCGUGCCUAAUACAUGCAAGUCGAGCGAACAGAUGAGGAGCUUGCUCCUCUGACGUUAGCGGCGGACGGGUGAGUAACACGUGGAUAACCUACCUAUAAGACUGGGAUAACUUCGGGAAACCGGAGCUAAUACCGGAUAAUAUAUUGAACCGCAUGGUUCAAUAGUGAAAGACGGUUUUGCUGUCACUUAUAGAUGGAUCCGCGCCGCAUUAGCUAGUUGGUAAGGUAACGGCUUACCAAGGCAACGAUGCGUAGCCGACCUGAGAGGGUGAUCGGCCACACUGGAACUGAGACACGGUCCAGACUCCUACGGGAGGCAGCAGUAGGGAAUCUUCCGCAAUGGGCGAAAGCCUGACGGAGCAACGCCGCGUGAGUGAUGAAGGUCUUCGGAUCGUAAAACUCUGUUAUUAGGGAAGAACAAAUGUGUAAGUAACUAUGCACGUCUUGACGGUACCUAAUCAGAAAGCCACGGCUAACUACGAG